GAGCUUUAAAGGACUCACUAAGAUUUAAGAUCCAGACCAGCCUGACCGACAGCAUGAGCUGAACGUUACGAAAUGAUUUAAACUCUACAGACCGGCCAAUGUACAGCGCGAGCUAAACGUUCCAAAUGGUUAAAACUACAAGACCAGACAGCGUGGAGCGGUGGCUACACCACGGAAAAUGGUGAGACCUGUACAUUGCUGGGUUACUACUGGCGUGUAAGUGGUCGGGAGCUGAACCCUGAAUAAUCAACCAUUGAUACCAAAAGACGUGAGACGGUGGUGUACACGUUGAAAUGGUUAGAAACUCUAAAGCUCUCAACCUCAACACAAGUGAAGAUCACCUAGGAGACCAGAAACAUUCACAGUCUGCAGCUGUGCAUGUAAAAGUGGUCCUAGAACUUUGACUAAAGACACAAGGUGGGAAGGAAGAAUCCCCAGAAACAACCAUUGAUACAACUGAAGUAUGUGUUCUAACAAACACUCCACUACCAGAGAAGCUCAACAAAGAAGGACAUUGUGACCUUUGGUGGACAACCAGAGCCUUACAUCGAGCCACUACCCAUAGAUGGAUCGAUUGGUUUCAACAGAUAGACGGCGAUCAGGAGCAGCUAUGCAUCCAAGGCUUACGCGACGUUCAGAAUGAGACUGAGAGGACAUGAGCCCUGGAACUAUCUGGCCUGAUGACUUCUUGCUGCCCCCAUUGCCACCUGGUUGUGCUGCUGCUCUAGUUUCAACUGCUCUGCCUGCAGCUAUGGAACCCUGACCUGUUCACCGGACAAGCUACUUUGUCCCAGACCUGCUGUUUUCGACUCGCUCUCUACCCCAUCUGCUGUCUCUACCUCUGAUUGCUCGGCUAUGAAAAGCCAACUGACAUUUACUCCUGUUGCACCCUCUACAACCACUGUGAUUAUUAUUUGUCCCUGCUGGUCAUCUAUUUACGUUUGAACAUCUUGAAGAACAAUCUGGCCUUAUGGCCAUGUACUCUUAUAAUCUCCACCCGGCACAGCCAGAACAGGACUGGCCACCCCUCAGAGCCUGGUUCCUCUCUAGGUUUCUUCCUAGGUUCUGGCCUUUCCAGGGAGUUUUUCCUAACCACCGGGCUUCUACAUCUGCCUUGCUUGUUGUUUGGGGUUUUAGGCUGGGUUUCUGUAUAACACUUUGUGACAUCUGCUGAUGUAAAAAGGACUUUAUAAAUACAUUUGAUUGGUUGAUAGAACAUAUCUACCGCUUAUUAGACAUGCUUUAAAGUAGAAUGAUAGAUCUAUAACUCAUAUUUCUAUGUGAAUUUGGUCGGGUCGCCCAAAAAGUUACAUAUUGCACUUUAAAAAGCAUUUGUUUUUGCCACGUGUUCUAUUACAGACACCUUAAUGCAUACUUUUUAAAUUAGAUUAUGUGAGCUCAACAUACAAAUAAAAAAGUAUAAUAUUUAGAGAUUACUAAUGUUACUGUCCCCACAAAAAAACACAACUAAAUACAUGUAAUUUUGUCCUUAACAUUUAAUUGAAAUACUGUUGAAUUCCAUUCAUUCCUAUGGAGAACUGCUCCUACUGCAGAGUUCUUCAAAGCCUCUCAAUAGCCAAUACAUAGUAUCAGCAAUCCAGGGUUUCUAUACAUCAUUGAUAAAAACAGGCAUGCAAUGGUAUGGAGGAGGGUAAGGAGUGGUUGUUGGUGAAGAUGGU